rnacentral:rRNA from 1 species
UUCCGGUUGAUCCUGCCGGACCUGACUGCUAUCGGAUUGAUACUAAGCCAUGCGAGUCAUUGUAGCAAUACAAGGCAGACGGCUCAGUAACGCGUAGUCAACCUACCCUAUGGACGGGAAUAACCUCGGGAAACUGAGUAUAAUGCCCGAUAGAACACUAUACCUGGAAUGGUUUGUGUUUCAAAUGAUUUAUUGCCGUAGGAUGGGACUGCGGCCUAUCAGUUUGUUGGUGAGGUAAUGGCCCACCAAGACUAUUACAGGUACGGGCUCUGAGAGGAGUGGCCCGGAGAUGGGUACUGAGACACGGACCCAGGCCCUAUGGGGCGCAGCAGGCGAGAAAACUUUGCAAUGUGCGAAAGCACGACAAGGUUAAUCCGAGUGGUUUCUGCUAAAGAAACCUUUUGACAGUCCUAGAAACACUGUUGAAUAAGGGGUGGGCAAGUUCUGGUGUCAGCCGCCGCGGUAAAACCAGCACCUCAAGUGGUCAGGAUGAUUAUUGGGCCUAAAGCAUCCGUAGCCGGCUCAGUAAGUUUUCGGUUAAAUCUGUACGCUUAACGUACAGGCUGCCGGGAAUACUGCAGAGCUAGGGAGUGGGAGAGGUAGACGGUACUCGGGAGGAAGUGGUAAAAUGCUUUGAUCUUUCGAUGACCACCUGUGGCGAAGGCGGUCUACCAGAACACGUCCGACGGUGAGGGAUGAAAGCUGGGGGAGCAAACCGGAUUAGAUACCCGGGUAGUCCCAGCUGUAAACUAUGCAAACUCAGUGAUGCAUUGGCUUUGAGGCCAA